rnacentral:tRNA from 1 species
GAGUUGUGGCUCAGCCGGUAGAGCGCUUGCCUUGCAAGCAUGAGUCUGCGGGUUCGAUUCCCAGCCCACAUGCA